rfam:Oryza glumipatula chromosome 4, whole genome shotgun sequence.
AAAAAGAUAAAUUCUGGAUUUCUAUGUACAACUUUAACUGUCCGUCUUAUAUAAAAUUUUUUUAUAAUUCGUAAUUUUAUUGUUGUUAGAUGAUAAAACAUGAUUAAUAUUUUAUGCGUGACUUGACUUUUUAAUUUUUUUCAUAAUUUUUUCAAAUAAGACGGACGGUCAAACGUUGGGCACGGAAACUACAGUUUGUCUUUUUU